UUUUGACCUCGGAUCAAGUAGGGAUACCCGCUGAACUUAAGCAUAUCAAUA
rnacentral:rRNA from 2 species